rnacentral:rRNA from 2 species
CCACACUCCUACGGGAGGCAGCAGUGGGGAAUUUUCCGCAAUGGGCGAAAGCCUGACGGAACAAGACCGCGUGAGGGAAGACGGCCUACUGGUUGUAAACCUCUUUUGAUAGGGAAGAACACAAUGACAGUACCUAUCGAAUCAGCCUCGGCUAACUCCGUGCCAGCAACCGCGGUAAUACGGAGGAGGCAAGCGUUAUCCGGAAUUAUUGGGCGUAAAGCGUCCGUAGGUGGAUAUUCAAGUCAGUUGUUAAAGCGUGGAGCUUAACUCCAUAAAGGCAAUUGAAACUGAAUGUCUAGAGUGCGAUAGGGUCAGGGGAAUUCCCAGUGUAGCGGUGAAAUGCGUAGAUAUUGGGAAGAACCUCGGUGGCGAAAGCGCCUUGCUGGGUCUGCACUGACACUGAGGGACUAAAGCUAGGGGAGCGAAAGGGAUUACAUACCCCUGUAGUCAUAACCGUAAACUAUGUAUACUAGGCGUUGUCCGUAUCGACCCGGACAGUGCCGUAUCUAACGCGUUAAGUAUCCCGCCUGGCGAGUACGCUCGCUAGAGUGAAUCUCAAAGGAAUUGACGGGGGCCCGCACCAGCGGGAGUAGUAUGUGGUUUUAUUCGAUGCACGCGAAGGCCCUUACCAGGGCUUGACAUGUCGCGCACCCCUUGUGAAACAGGGUGUGCCUUCGGGACCGAGACACGGGUGGUGCAUGGGCUCGUCAACAGCUCGUGUCGAUGAGAUGUUGGGUUUAUCUUCCCGCAAGGAGCGCCAACCUUUUCGUUUCUUAGUCGCCAGCAUUUCGCUUGGGUCCUCUGGAAACACUGCCGGUGACGACCUGGAGGAAGGGGGGGGAUGACGUACAGUCAAGCAUGCUCCGUUACGUCCUGGGCUACCACGGUACUUACACUGCUGGCGGACAGACGGGCAGCUACCUAGGCGAUGAC